UAUUAAAUGGGUGUGGCGUUAGAUACACCAUGAUCAAACAUGUAUGAGAUUCCAUUACGGGUUAACGUUAUACAGGAAACAAAAGUCAACCGGAAAUAAAUAUGAUCCUCCCAUGUCACCUGUAUUCAGACUCAAUGCAUAGGUUGACAGAAAAUCGACUUUGUGAGAAUUCAUUUCGCUCCGGAGUCGGGUGGAUAGAAGAUCCUACAGCCACUUUGUCCAAUUGAAGACAGAGAGCAUCCACCAGGAGAAAGACAUGGCAUCAUCGUCUGGUCCAGUGGAGAGGAAGAGGAGAGCUAGCAUUUCACUACCUCUCGACAGUAAGUAUUGAGCAGUGCUCCCUUUCACACACACGUCAGGUGGCAGGUAUGCUAGUGGGUCAGAGCAUUGGGCCAGUUACAAAAAGGUAACUGGUUCCAAUCCCCGUGCUGACUAGGUGAAAAAUCUGUUGAUGUGCCCUAGUUGCUCCAGGCUCACCAUCAAUAAUAGCUCAUCCCUUGCCCCCACGCUCAGGGUAAGAUAUGCAACAAAAAACUAAAGCCAAUACACACUUGUACAUGUGUGAGAACAAUAUUAAUAAUAAUAAGGGUGCUUACAUUUAUCUUAACUCCACAAUCUGGCAAAUUCAGUCGGGGAAGAUACAUUAUUUUUAUGCCUUUGUUGUGCACUGCUUAUAAUCAAAAGGGCAUUAAGUCUUAAAGGUGCAAUAUGUAACUUUUUGGGAGAACACACCAAAUUCACAUAGAAAUUUGAGUUAUAGAUCUGUCAUUCAUUGGAAGCAAGAGAUAUGUUCUAUUUCUAGGCUUCCCGGUCUGGAGUUUUGUUUUUGCAUCUUUUACUUUGUUUCGUACACCAGCUUAAAAACUGCUGAAAAUACAAUGUUUAGAGAAAAUAUAUUUCACAGCAGUUUAGAUGGCACAAUGAUUCUGUGGAGGUAGAUAUCACUCAUUUAAUAAUGAGGAUAGGGAGGACCACAGUCAGAUCACAGAGCUGCUGGAGAAAAUAGAAGAGAUGGUAGAGGUGAAUAAAAGGGGGAGCUACACCAACAAGAUGGACCAGAAUGCUCAGAGUGAGACCACAGCCCAGAAGAUACAGAGCAGGUCUACAACUUGGGGUGCUACAGCAGCAGCUCUUCUGGCAGCAGCCAUUACAUUGUUAAUACUCUCAGGAGUAGUGAGAGUAGCGGGACCAACAGACCCAGUGGAACCAACAGUAGCAACCGGACCAGCAUUGGGAAUAGCAAAACUAGCGAGAUCAAGAGGAAGAGCUGGACCAGCAUUGGUAGUACCAACAGAAGGAAUGCGAGCAGCAGUCGGACCAGCAUUGGAAGAAAUAAAAGGAGUAUUGGGAGUACUAGUAGGGGUAGCAGGCGUAGCAUUGGUAGCACUAGCAGGGUUAGAUGGACUAGCAUUGGUAGCACUAGCAGGUAUGGCAGGAGUAGCAGGGUCAGCAGUAGGAGUUGCAGGACUAGCAUUGGGACUACCAGCAGGAGUAGUAAUAAUAGCAGGAACGGGAGUAGCGGGACUAGCAGGAGUAGCAUUAGCCAAGAAUUUCCAAUGGUAUCAAAAUAGACAGCAUAAUGGACAGGAGAGGGGUGGAAAACAGAAAGCCUCCUAAAAUAAGUACAGAUCUGGUUAACAACAGAGAUAGAUGUUAUAGUUCUGAAGUGUAAAAUAGAUUAAAGUCUUGGCGGGAUGGCUGGGCAGUAACAGUGGGUAUGUCUGCAUGAACAGAAAGAGGGUAGCCUUGACCUUCUAUUGAAUAGAUGUGUAUAUUUGGUCUUCGUAGGGUUCAGACGGUGUAACUGUUAACAAAAUGGAGAUGUCAAGGAACAAAACAAAAACAAUGUUGAUGCAAAACAGAGGCACAUGGUAAAUAAAAGGGCAAACAUACCCAAAUGUAGUACUCCACAUGCUAGUGUUAAACAAUGAGCAAAUAAGAGAAGUGCACAACAAUCAAACCAGACACAAUAUCAAUCUACAUAACAGUACAAACUACAUACAUUGGCUGCUGCUCACAGGCAAUGGCACCGUUGAGUGAUCUGUGCUGUUUGGUUGAGAGAGAACUAAUGACUGCAGGUCAUUUAAAGGGCUAGCCCCACCCCUUUCAGGUGGUGGUGAUCUAGUUGAUUAGUUGUGUGUGUCGACCAAUGAGGAGCAGGCUCCCUCAUUGAGGAGGAGUUUCGUACAAAUACUUGUUUCUCUUGGAAGAAACAUUUAAAUGCUUUAAAAAAAAUUGUGUUGAAACCAUGAUCUUAUGGUCAUAUCCCGUUGAGUAUUGUUGGUCUAUUGCCCUUUCAUUUUUUUAUGUUAAUCUUUUUUUAUGAGAUGCUUAGGGAUCAAACUAAAUGUGUUCUUACAGUUUCAAUGUAUUUAAUAUUACUAUCAUGUCUGUGUAGUGAAACAUGGGUCAUUUCAUGGUGCUUUUUUUUAUGGUGUUUUUAAAAUAACCCAUGAAAAAUAUUUAACCGAUUAUAUUCUAUUCUGUCCCUUUGUACCUUGCAUGAAUGUAAGAAAAUAAAACACCAACUAUUUGAUUGA